UUUCUUUUCUUUCUUUCUUUCCUUCCUUCCUUCUCUGUUUCGUUUUGCUCUCUGUUUCUUUCUUUCUCCCUUCUCUGUUUUGUUUUGUUUUGCUCUCUGUUUCUUUUCUUUCUUUCUUUGUCAUAUAUAUAUAUAAUAUAAUAUAAUAUAAUAUAAAAUAUUAAUAAUAAUCAUUACUUACAUAUAUAUAAUAUAUAUUAACUAGAAUAUCUCAGAUAUUUAUUUCAUUAUGCCGCCUCAACUUUAGAAAAAGGCAUAAUUGCCUAUUUGGUCCUUUAACUUUUCUUUAAUCUAUAAUUAAACUUUUAUCCCUAUUGCAAUUUAAUCCU
rnacentral:lncRNA from 1 species